rnacentral:piRNA from 1 species
UAUGAAUGGAGCCGAGCAGUAACAAUUGAGGU